rnacentral:lncRNA from 1 species
GACAUGUCUCCAUUGAAAACCAAUGUUUCCAAGCUCAAUAUCAAAAUUCGACUUCUAUUCCGAGAAUUUCACGAAUUCGACGAUUAUCGUCCAAUCGUGUGAAUUCCGGUAAAACUUCGUUACUUGAGAUUUUUAAACCAUUUCAAUCGGAUGCAAUCCAUCAUACUAAUAUCUUGACAUACAUACUUCAUUAACUUAUAAUCAUGAUAAGUUAUUACUUAUUAUUGAUGAGUU